GCAACUUGAAUUUGCCUACCAAGUACCGAGUAAUGGGACUUGUGACUAGUGGGUAAUUGUACAAAAAUUUGGUGAAAGCCUAAAAGGAAAGCAAGUACUAUGCAUGUCUAUAUAUAGCAUGAAGAAGAGGCUAUAUGGAGUAAUUCUAACGGGAUUUCCUUCUCCACUCCACUCAUCCAAUUUGUCUGAAUAUUAGGCGUAAAAUUUGGGUUAUUGGAGAGUGAAAAAACUGAAAAAUGCAUAUCAGAAUUUAGAGAGACGUAAUACGAGAGUUGCUACAAAAAUUCAUACAAGAUUUCAUAAGGUAAUAGCAACAGGAUUUUGUGGUUCUAAGGGAGAAUGGUGCAACCUUUUCCAAGAAUAUCAUACGGAUUUUCCCUGCUCCAGGUAUGUUAAAGUUAUCUCUUCUUUCUUUUGGCAUGAGUAACGAUACGUAAACAUAAUGAUGUUCCAUAAGUUGUUCUACUCUUAGCAGUUAAGGAUGUCUAUGUUAUUUAUUCCCGUAAAGUGAUAUUCAAGAAUGUUUAAGUAUGUAUCUAGUUCCCUAUUCAGGCGUAUGAUAAAGAUGUUAAUGUUUAUAAUAUAGCGAUACGUGCAUCCUCAUGCAUUUACCACCGUGCUAUGGCCGGUUGGGCGGUCAUGCAUAUUCAUUUACCACCGCGCUAUGGCCGGUCGGGCAGUUACCACCGAUUGGGAAGUUAUGUAUCAUCAUUUACCACCGGUUGGGCAAUUAUGCAUUUACCACUGAGCUACAACCGGUCGGGCAGUUACCAAUGAUCAGUUGGGUAGUCAUGCAUCAUACGAUAUGGAUAAUAGUCUUAAAGAAAAGCAUUGUAUAUAUGUAUGUAUAAUUGGAAUGCAUAUACGGUAGCACUACAGAGAUUCAGGUUGUUUCUUAUAUGUCUAUAAUUAAUGUUGACACAUUGUUAUAUUUUAGUUCUGCCUUACAUACUCAGUAUAUUAUUCAUACUAACGUCCUUUUGUUGGGACGCUGCAAUCACGCCUUCAGGUAUAGGUAAUUAGUUUGACGGUCCCUCAUAGUAGAUGAUAUUGGCAUUCAGCGAAGGAUCGAUAAGACUCCACCUCAUUUGGAGUGCAACCAAGUCUAUGGGUCAUCGUAUCAGAGUUUUGCUACAGACUUAUGGGUAGGUCGGUACCCAAUCCUAUUUGAUGUCAAAUAAUCUUAGAGGAUUUAUAAACAGAGGUUCAUUUUAUACAGUAUAUCAGAGGCCUUGUCGUCCCCUAUGUAUCUAUAUAAAUCUUUUCGAAUUAGUUAUGUGAGUUAAGUUCCAAUAUUGUUACUUAUAUAUAUAGAUGUGGCCUAUCAUGGCCCGUGACGAGUCUUAUAAUAAAGAAGGAUAAGGUACGUGGCGCUUGGUUGAGUAGGAACCGGGUGCUAGUCGUGGCCCUCCGAUUUGGGUCGUGACAAAGUGGUAUCAGAGUGGGUCAUGUCCUAGGGAGUCUACAAAGCCGUGCCUAGUAGAGUCUCAUUUAUGAGUGUGUUGCGCGCCACAUUUAUAAUUGAGAGGCUAUAGGGCAUUUAGGAAAUGUUACCCUUUUUUGUCUCUAGAUCAUGCCAUAGAGCUGAGUCGUAAGAAGUUAGUGUGAAGCUUUCGCCAAAUUUCGUAUGCACCAGAGGUACAUGUAUCACAGUAGAGCUUUAAGGCAUAAUUUCCACCUAUGUGGAAGGGAGGUUAUGAAAGAGACAGAAUAUACGAUUUGAGAUUGAAAGGUAAGUAAGAUAAAGGUAAAGAAGAUACGAGAUACUCAAGUACAAAAGAUGUGAAUUGUCAAGACUUCAAGUAGAGGUUGGGUUUUUGUUUAAGUUUAUAGAAGAGACUUUGGCAAAAAUUUUGUAAGUUUCUAGGAGUUAACAUUCGAGGACGAAUGUUCUAAAGGGGGGAAGGAUGUUACACCCUGUAAGUUUAAUAACCUUGAUACCUGAAAAAAAAUGAUUUAAAAAAUAUAAUUUUAUGUAGUUAUUAUUAUUACUACUUUCGAAUAUGCUUUAAAUUAUACACGUAAAAUAAGAAAGUUUAUGAGAUUUUUUUUAUUGUAAAGAUAUAAAUUAUUUUUUUCGCAAGAAAAGAAGGUUAUCUUUUUACCAUUUUAAGAAUUAAGUGUACGAAAAUUGUACUCUUUAUAUGAGAUUAGAAAAAAAAAAAUAGAAGUUGAGCAAAUAUAUGCAUUUUUUUACACGGAUGUUUUAACGAAAUAACAAUGUAUGUAUUGAUUUUAUACGGUAUCACAUGGCGAUGAUAGUAAGGUAUAUAUAAAGUGUGUUAAAAGUGGGUAGUAUUUUAAGUAAUUUGAGAUAAUUCUUAAUUAUGUGAAUAAUUAAUUAAUUAAUGAUUUUUGUGCAAGAUAAGCUAGUUAAUUAUCAUAAUUUGGAUAAAUCGUGAGUCCCCUCCCACGUGUCAACCAUAAUGGAUUAACUAGAUGACUCAUAAAUCUAGUUGAAGGGUGGCAAAAUAAAGUCUGUAACACAAGACAUAACAUUCUUCAUUUAUGUGUAAAACAUGCUUAAAGGAUUAAAAGGGCUGAAUUGGAGCCCUAUUUUUAAGUUGUCAUUUUUAUUCAUAUUUUCAUACAUAUCCAAGAACAAUAUUAUUUUAUGUGGAGUAACAUUUCUAGGAAGAAAAGGGCAACUUGAAUUUGCCUACAAAGUACCGAGUAAUGGGACUUGUGACUAGUGGGUAAUUGUACAAAAAAUUGGUGAAAGCCUAAAAGGAAAGCAAGUAUUAUGCAUGUCUAUAUAUAGCAUGAAGAAGAGGCUAUAUGGAAUAAUUCUAACGGGAUUUCCUUCUCCACUCCACUCAUCCAAUUUGUCUGAAUAUUAGGCGUAAAAUUUGGGUUAUUGGAGAGUGAAAAAACUGAAAAACACAUACUCCCUCCGUUUCAAUUUAUGUGAACCUAUUUGAUUGGGCACGAAGUUUAAGAAAAGAAAGAAGACUUUUGAACUUGUGAUGUAAAAUGAGGCACAUAUAUUUUGUGUGGCUAUAAAUCGUUGCAUAAAGAUAAAUUGUUUCCAAAUAAGGAAAGGGAUCAUUCUUUUUGGCACACACCAAAAAGUAAAUAGGUUCAUAUAAAUUGAAACGGAGGGAGUAUUAGAUUUUAGAGAGACGUAAUACGAGAGUUGCUACAAAAUUCAUACAAGAUUUCAUAAGGUAAUAGCAACGGGAUUUUGUGGUUCUAAGGGAGAAUGGUGCAACCUUUUCCAAGAAUAUCAUAAGGAUUUUUCCCUGCUCCAGGUAUGUUAAAGUUAUCUCUUCUUUCUUUUGGCAUGAUCCAAGUAACGAUACGUAAACGUAAUGAUGUUCCAUAAGUUGUUCUACUCUUAGCAGUUAAGGAUGUCUAUGUUAUUUAUUCCCAUAAAGUGAUAUUCAAGAAUAUCUAAGUAUGUAUUUAUUUCCCUAUUGAGGCGUAUGAUAAAGAUGUUAAUGUUUAUAAUAUAGUGAUACAUGCAUCUUCAUGCAUUUACCACCGUGCUAUGGUCGGUUGGGCGGUCAUGCAUAUUCAUUUACCACCGUGCUAUGGCCAGUCGGACAGACAUGCAUAUUCAUUUACCAUUGUGCUAUGGCCGGUCGGGCAGUCACACAUUUAUUACCGCGCUACGGCCGAUCAGGUAGUCAUACAUUUACCACCGCGCUACGUCCGGUUGGGCAGUUAACACCGGUUGGGCAGUUAUGUAUAAUUAUUUACCACCGGUUGGGCAGUUGUGCAUUUACCACUAAUAUACGGUCGGUCGGGCAGUUACCACUGAUCAGUUGGGCAGUCAUGUAUCAUACGAUAUGGAUAAUAGUCUUAAAGAGAAGCAUUUUAUAUAUAUAUAUAUAUAUGUAUAAGAGGUAUGCAUAUACGUUUGAACUACAGAGAUUCAGGUUGUUUCUUAUAUGUUAUUAAUUAAUGUUGAUAUAUUGUUAUGUUUCAGUUCUGCCUUUCAUACUCAGUACAUGAUUCAUAAUGACAUCUUUUUGUUGGGGACGCUGCAUUCAUGCCUGCAGGUAUAGAUAAUUAGUUUGACGAGCCCUCAAAGUAGAUAAGAUUGGCAUUCAGCGAAGGAUCGGUAAGACUCCACCUCAUUCGGAGUGCAACCGAGUCUAUGGGUCAUCGUAUCAGAGUUUUGCUACAGACUUAUGGGUAGGUCGGUACCCUGUCCUAUUUGAUGUCAAAUAAUCUUAGAGACUUUGUAAAUAGAGGUUCAUUUUAUACAGUAUAUCAGAGGCCUUGUCGGCCCCUAUGUAUC
rnacentral:lncRNA from 1 species